UGGGGAAUUUUGGACAAUGGGCGAAAGCCUGAUCCAGCAAUGCCGCGUGUGUGAAGAAGGCCUUCGGGUUGUAAAGCACUUUUGUCCGGAAAGAAAUCCUUGGCUCUAAUACAGUCGGGGGAUGACGGUACCGGAAGAAUAAGCACCGGCUAACUACGUGCCAGCAGCCGCGGUAAUACGUAGGGUGCAAGCGUUAAUCGGAAUUACUGGGCGUAAAGCGUGCGCAGGCGGUUUGCUAAGACCGAUGUGAAAUCCCCGGGCUCAACCUGGGAACUGCAUUGGUGACUGGCAGGCUAGAGUAUGGCAGAGGGGGGUAGAAUUCCACGUGUAGCAGUGAAAUGCGUAGAGAUGUGGAGGAAUACCGAUGGCGAAGGCAGCCCCCUGGGCCAAUACUGACGCUCAUGCACGAAAGCGUGGGGAGCAAACAGGAUUAGAUACCCUGGUAGUCCACGCCCUAAACGAUGUCAACUAGUUGUUGGGGAUUCAUUCCUUAGUAACGUAGCUAACGCGUGAAGUUGACCGCCUGGGGAGUACGGUCGCAAGAUUAAAACUUAAAGGAAUUGACGGGGU
rnacentral:rRNA from 1 species